rnacentral:rRNA from 1 species
CGGAACACGUACGCAAUCUACCCAAAACUGAUGAAUAGCCCUCCGAAAGGAGGAUUAAUACAUCGUAACCUAACUGAAUGGCAUCAUUUAAUUAGUAUAGCUCCGGCGGUUUUGGAUGAGCGUGCGCCUGAUUAGGUAGUUGGCGGGGUAACGGCCCACCAAGCCUGCGAUCAGUAACUGGUGUGAGAGCACGACCAGUCACACGGGCACUGAGACACGGGCCCG